CAUUGAAAUUUCUUUAUGGAGAUCAAUACAAAAACAUUAUAACCAACAUUAAACAAGUGCUUAAUGAUAGGCGACACCUUCGAAUUGCGGGAACUCCGUCAACAACAGCCUCAAGUACCACUUCAGUUGAGAAAUCUUCUGAAGGAACACAGGUAAUUCCUGUUCCCAAUGGUAACAAGCUUGAGGACAUGGUGGAAAUCCGCAGCCAAGCUCCUAAGUCCGAACGAAGUUGACAAGGAUAUGGAGAAGGUUCAGAGACUUAAUGGGGGUGGGGCUGAAGGAUCUGGUCAAUCCUGAUGAAGCCUUAAGAUAAAGUACAGCCUCUUUCGAAAGAUUGAG
rnacentral:ncRNA from 1 species